UGCGGAGAAGAGAAAUGGUAAUCUCGCCGGGCUCAUGCCCCGGAGGUUGCAGGUUCGAGCCCUGCCUCCGCAA
rnacentral:tRNA from 1 species